rnacentral:rRNA from 1 species
UACGGAGGAUGCGAGCGUUAUCCGGAUUUAUUGGGUUUAAAGGGUGCGUAGGCGGGCCUUUAAGUCAGCGGUAAAAAUUCGGGGCUCAACCCCGUCCGGCCGUUGAAACUGGGGGCCUUGAGUGGGCGAGAAGAAGGCGGAAUGCGUGGUGUAGCGGUGAAAUGCAUAGAUAUCACGCAGAACCCCGAUUGCGAAGGCAGCCUUCCGGCGCCCUACUGACGCUGAGGCACGAAAGUGCGGGGAGCAAACAGG